rnacentral:rRNA from 1 species
UUAAGCGACUAAGCGUACACGGUGGAUGCCCUGGCAGUCAGAGGCGAUGAAGGACGUGCUAAUCUGCGAUAAGCGUCGGUAAGGUGAUAUGAACCGUUAUAACCGGCGAUUUCCGAAUGGGGAAACCCAGUGUGAUUCGUCACACUAUCAUUAACUGAAUCCAUAGGUUAAUGAGGCGAACCGGGGGAACUGAAACAUCUAAGUACCCCGAGGAAAAGAAAUCAACCGAGAUUCCCCAGUAGCGGCGAGCGAACGGGGAGCAGCCCAGAGCCUGAAUCAGUGUGUGUGUUAGUGGAAGCGUCUGGAAAGGCGUGCGAUACAGGGUGACAGCCCCGUACACAAAAAUGCACAUGCUGUGAGCUCGAUGAGUAGGGCGGGACACGUGGUAUCCUGUCUGAAUAUGGGGGGACCAUCCUCCAAGGCUAAAUACUCCUGACUGACCGAUAGUGAACCAGUACCGUGAGGGAAAGGCGAAAAGAACCCCGGCGAGGGGAGUGAAAAAGAACCUGAAACCGUGUACGUACAAGCAGUGGGAGCACGCUUAGGCGUGUGACUGCGUACCUUUUGUAUAAUGGGUCAGCGACUUAUAUUCUGUAGCAAGGUUAACCGAAUAGGGGAGCCGAAGGGAAACCGAGUCUUAACUGGGCGUUAAGUUGCAGGGUAUAGACCCGAAACCCGGUGAUCUAGCCAUGGGCAGGUUGAAGGUUGGGUAACACUAACUGGAGGACCGAACCGACUAAUGUUGAAAAAUUAGCGGAUGACUUGUGGCUGGGGGUGAAAGGCCAAUCAAACCGGGAGAUAGCUGGUUCUCCCCGAAAGCUAUUUAGGUAGCGCCUCGUGAAUUCAUCUCCGGGGGUAGAGCACUGUUUCGGCAAGGGGGUCAUCCCGACUUACCAACCCGAUGCAAACUGCGAAUACCGGAGAAUGUUAUCACGGGAGACACACGGCGGGUGCUAACGUCCGUCGUGAAGAGGGAAACAACCCAGACCGCCAGCUAAGGUCCCAAAGUCAUGGUUAAGUGGGAAACGAUGUGGGAAGGCCCAGACAGCCAGGAUGUUGGCUUAGAAGCAGCCAUCAUUUAAAGAAAGCGUAAUAGCUCACUGGUCGAGUCGGCCUGCGCGGAAGAUGUAACGGGGCUAAACCAUGCACCGAAGCUGCGGCAGCGACGCUGAUGCGUUGUUGGGUAGGGGAGCGUUCUGUAAGCCUGCGAAGGUGUGCUGUGAGGCAUGCUGGAGGUAUCAGAAGUGCGAAUGCUGACAUAAGUAACGAUAAAGCGGGUGAAAAGCCCGCUCGCCGGAAGACCAAGGGUUCCUGUCCAACGUUAAUCGGGGCAGGGUGAGUCGACCCCUAAGGCGAGGCCGAAAGGCGUAGUCGAUGGGAAACAGGUUAAUAUUCCUGUACUUGGUGUUACUGCGAAGGGGGGACGGAGAAGGCUAUGUUGGCCGGGCGACGGUUGUCCCGGUUUAAGCGUGUAGGCUGGUUUUCCAGGCAAAUCCGGAAAAUCAAGGCUGAGGCGUGAUGACGAGGCACUACGGUGCUGAAGCAACAAAUGCCCUGCUUCCAGGAAAAGCCUCUAAGCAUCAGGUAACAUCAAAUCGUACCCCAAACCGACACAGGUGGUCAGGUAGAGAAUACCAAGGCGCUUGAGAGAACUCGGGUGAAGGAACUAGGCAAAAUGGUGCCGUAACUUCGGGAGAAGGCACGCUGAUAUGUAGGUGAAGCGACUUGCUCGUGGAGCUGAAAUCAGUCGAAGAUACCAGCUGGCUGCAACUGUUUAUUAAAAACACAGCACUGUGCAAACACGAAAGUGGACGUAUACGGUGUGACGCCUGCCCGGUGCCGGAAGGUUAAUUGAUGGGGUCAGCGCAAGCGAAGCUCUUGAUCGAAGCCCCGGUAAACGGCGGCCGUAACUAUAACGGUCCUAAGGUAGCGAAAUUCCUUGUCGGGUAAGUUCCGACCUGCACGAAUGGCGUAAUGAUGGCCAGGCUGUCUCCACCCGAGACUCAGUGAAAUUGAACUCGCUGUGAAGAUGCAGUGUACCCGCGGCAAGACGGAAAGACCCCGUGAACCUUUACUAUAGCUUGACACUGAACAUUGAGCCUUGAUGUGUAGGAUAGGUGGGAGGCUUUGAAGUGUGGACGCCAGUCUGCAUGGAGCCGACCUUGAAAUACCACCCUUUAAUGUUUGAUGUUCUAACGUGGACCCGUGAUCCGGGUUGCGGACAGUGUCUGGUGGGUAGUUUGACUGGGGCGGUCUCCUCCUAAAGAGUAACGGAGGAGCACGAAGGUUGGCUAAUCCUGGUCGGACAUCAGGAGGUUAGUGCAAUGGCAUAAGCCAGCUUGACUGCGAGCGUGACGGCGCGAGCAGGUGCGAAAGCAGGUCAUAGUGAUCCGGUGGUUCUGAAUGGAAGGGCCAUCGCUCAACGGAUAAAAGGUACUCCGGGGAUAACAGGCUGAUACCGCCCAAGAGUUCAUAUCGACGGCGGUGUUUGGCACCUCGAUGUCGGCUCAUCACAUCCUGGGGCUGAAGUAGGUCCCAAGGGUAUGGCUGUUCGCCAUUUAAAGUGGUACGCGAGCUGGGUUUAGAACGUCGUGAGACAGUUCGGUCCCUAUCUGCCGUGGGCGCUGGAGAACUGAGGGGGGCUGCUCCUAGUACGAGAGGACCGGAGUGGACGCAUCACUGGUGUUCGGGUUGUCAUGCCAAUGGCACUGCCCGGUAGCUAAAUGCGGAAGAGAUAAGUGCUGAAAGCAUCUAAGCACGAAACUUGCCCCGAGAUGAGUUCUCCCUGACUCCUUGAGAGUCCUGAAGGAACGUUGAAGACGACGACGUUGAUAGGCCGGGUGUGUAAGCGCAGCGAUGCGUUGAGCUAACCGGUACUAAUGAACCGUGAGGCUUAACCUU